rnacentral:tRNA from 1 species
GGCUCGGUAGCUCAGUUGGUAGAGCAAUGGAUUGAAGCUCCAUGUGUCGGCGGUUCGAUUCCCGUCGGGACCG